UUUCCCGAUCCCCAAUCUCAGCUCUCACUAUCUCAGCUCAACCUCUCGAUCCAAUCUCGCCGCCGUGCUCUCAACCCACUACCCACAAACCUCACGCCUCCUCCCUCAUCAAAACCCGAAAAAUUUGCUGACCGAAGAGACCCAAGCUCUUCACUGGUGAGGCUCACUCCGUCGCCGGCAGGCUGUCACUCCACUUGAUCAAGUUUCUAGAUCUUCUCACAGGUUUUUCUCCUUCACCAAGAACCAACCAAGCCCUAAAUUACGAAUUAGUACCAUCCAUCCAACAAUGGCUUCCGAAAUAUUUUGGGUAUUGUACUUUCCGAGACUAUCAUAAGACAGCUAUUGAGAAGAUUCUAGAGAAAAAGGACUGCUUGGUGGUCAUGGCCACUGGCAGCGGCAAGUCCUUGUGGUAAGCCACCCAGCCAGUCUCAACUCCCAUUUUCUACAUUGUGUAUUUGCAUCAACUUUAGUUUUACCUUUUCACUUUUAUGUACAGUUCUUUAAAAUCUUACUUUUUUCAUUUUAUAUGGUUUGUAAUUUGAUUACUGAUAUAAUCAACAUGAGUUCCACCCUU